rnacentral:rRNA from 1 species
CUACGGGCUGCACCAGGCGAGAAAACUUUGCAAUGUGCGAAAGCACGACAAGGUUAAUCCGAGUGGUUUGUGCUAAACGAACCUUUUGACAGUCCUAGAAACACUGUUGAAUAAGGGGUGGGCAAGUUCUGGUGUCAGCCGCCGCGGUAAAACCAGCACCUCAAGUGGUCAGGAUGAUUAUUGGGCCUAAAGCAUCCGUAGCCGGCUCGGGAAGUUUUCGGUUAAAUCUGUACGCUCAACGUACAGGCUGCCGGGAAUACUGCAGAGCUAGGGAGUGGGAGAGGUAGACGGUACUCGGUAGGAAGGGGUAAAAUCCUUUGAUCUAUUGAUGACCACCUGUGGCGAAGGCGGUCUACCAGAACACGUCCGACGGUGAGGGAUGAAAGCUGGGGGAGCAAACCGGAUUAGAUACCCGCGUAGUC